ACGGGAGAUUUCUGAUCUGGAGUCUCGCACUUUUUUGAGGGCAAACAAAUUGUGUUUGCAUGUUCUCAAGUAACCGUCAUAAAACAAUUCUCCGGCGUGACGGAGCCGCCCUUAGGGUUGGCAUCUCCGCUGGGGUGGUCUCAUAUUCCAUUGCUUUGUGGAGCGGCGUCGCUGCCUUUACCAUUAAUGGCCGGCCAUGAGACAAACAUUCUUUCAGUUCUUGCUAUGAGGGUUUAUUGUGUGUUGUUGUGCUAAAUCGUUUUAUAAAUUGUACUUUUAAAUUUUUUGUUUGCUGUAUUAGUUUUCCUUUCUACAGGGACAGCAGGAUUGCUCGUGUUACAGGAUUGCGUGAACGGGUGUCUUGUCAUAAAACCUUUUUAAGAUUUAUUAUGUAAUGUUCUCAUUAGUUGUAUAGGUUUUUGUUAGUUUUGUAUUUUGCAUUUUCUUAUUAGUGAUUGAAAAUUGAUUUGCAUUUAAUUUAAUGUUAUUAUUUGUAUAAUUGAUAUUUAUUUAUAUUAAUGUUCUUAUUUAAAUACAUUUAUAUAAAUCGAAUAAACUCUAGCAUCUUUAUUAGAGAGCUUCUAAAUACUUUUAUAUUUUGAUUGAUAACUUGAAAAGAGAACAAAUGCAACCCCAUUAGAGAAAUCUAACAAAUGUUUAGAUAUUAGAGAAAUUUUUAUAUGGAAUAGUAUUCCAUUAAAUUAAGUAAUAUACAAAUUAAAUUUGUAAUAUUUUUAAAAUAUUUAGUAAAGUAAUUUUUAGUAAAGCUGAAAAAUGUAACUUCUCUCCAUAUAGAAAAUAUAUUCUAUUUUUUUGAAAUCACUUUUCACAAAAAAAAAAGAA
rnacentral:lncRNA from 1 species